CUUUCGUUUUCAAGUAAAUCAAAUUUAGAGAGAAAACAGUUGUUGAAAGAAAAUAUAAACUUUUGGAAUUAGUUUUUAAGGAAAAUGUGUAAAACAAUAUUUGCUGCGAUUAUUUUGAUUGUGCAUGCGCCGUUCGCGACCUGUGAAACCGCAGCGGAUGUAAAGGCUCUCAGAACAAAACUGUUCGUCACGGAUGGAUACGACUACAGGGUACGACCCACUGACGACCAGUCGUCGCCGAUCGAUGCGGUGGUGUAUGAAGCUUUGAUUAUUUCAGCGUAUAUCUGAUCCGGUCCGCUUGAUGUUCCGUUGUGUUGAUAAUGCUUGUUGUAUUUCAUUUUCUGUGAUCGGGGAGUCAAGAAUAUCAUUUGUUUCGAUGUUGCUAGUGUUGUC